rnacentral:rRNA from 1 species
ACGGAGGGUGCAAGCGUUAAUCGGAAUUACUGGGCGUAAAGCGCACGCAGGCGGUUCGAUAAGUCAGAUGUGAAAGCCCCGGGCUCAACCUGGGAACUGCAUUUGAAACUGUCGGACUAGAGUCUUGUAGAGGGGGGUAGAAUUCCAGGUGUUGGGGGUGAAUGCGGUAGAGACCGGAAGAAUUCCCGUGGCGGAGGGCGCCCCCUGGACAAAGACUGACGCUCAGGUGCGAAAGCGUGGGGAGCAAACAG